AUGGGGAAGAAGAAGGACCACUACGAGGUCCUGGGCGUGCCCAAGGCGGCCACCGCCGGCGACAUCAACGAGGCGUACCACAAGCGGACCGCGCUCAAGCGGAAGGCGGCGGAGCGGGGGUUCGAUCGCCUCACCACGGCCCACAAGGUUCUCAGUGACCCGCUGAGGCGCCCGCUCUACGACGUGCACCUGCGCGCCGAGGAGAAGCUCAUGGGGAAGGCGCCGCCGCCGGCCGCAUCCACGGGUGUAGCACUGGGCAGGGUGGUACGUACAUGCCGGAAGAGCGCAGCUUUGGGCAGGGAGGUUGCGGUUGCGGGCACCGGCGGCAGGCAAAAUACAGACCGGACGUGCGGAGGCGCCAAGCGUGCGGGCCUUCGAAGCUCAACGGGGAAGGCCGGCAGGAACGGCAAGCGCUCGCGAUGCCUAACGGACGGCGGGACAUACGCCGGCUUAGGAGGUGCGACGGGAGCACACGCGUCGACUGCGUUCUUUUCCACCGGCCGUAGCACCUUUGAGAUGUCCGUCAAGUAUACGAAUGAGUACUACAAUGAGGAGAACAGUUCAUCCUUCGACGGCGAGCCAUUCUGCCCCACCGACCAUAGCACCUUCAAGACGGCCGUGAAAUAUACGAAUGAGUACUACACUGAGGAGAACUGUUCAUCAUUCGACGGCGAGCCAUUCUGCCCCACCGACCAUAGCACCUUCAAGAUGGCCGUGAAGACCAUGAAUGAGUACUACGAUGAGGAUGAGAACCUUGGGUUGUGCGUGUACGAGGUAGAAGGCGUGCAGGAUGACUAUGGCAACCAUGCCGGGGCUGGCAAUGAUGUUACCAGGGUUUGUGGUGACCUCAUCAACGGUGAUGACGUGGAAGGGGGCACCCCGUAUGCAAAAUACGAUGAUUGCGGUGGUGGUGAUCACAACUAUGGCGACCAUGGCGGGGCUGGCAAUAAUGAUGAUACCGGGGUUUGUGGUGACUACUACGACGACGCUGCGGGGGGCUUUGACAAUGGCUACUACGACGGUGACGCUGGGAAUGGAGCUGAUGACUGGUGGUAG
rnacentral:rRNA from 1 species